AGAAGUCGUUGUAGAGCGACAAACACCAUGUGCGGAGGUUGCAAGAGGAGUCGCUGAAUAGUGACCGUCUGUAGAAGUCGACAUAAAGCAACCAUCACCAUCGGCUGUAGAAGUCGAAAUAAAGCAACCAUCAGCAUCAGCGGAAGAACUCCGAGGAAACAACGGAGGAGCACCAAGCACCGAGAGACGGCACAUGUGCGAGACGGGAUUAAUGUAGGGAACACCAUCAACAGUCAUCUGGCAACCAGAGAGAUGCAUACUCGAGGAGUUUCUUUUUUUUUACUCUGACAAUCGGCGGCUGAGGCACCACGCAGGACCAAGGAGCAGUAGUAGCACCGCGUAGGAGCACGUACACCAUCAGAUCGAGAGGAACUGAGGAGACAACACGUAGCAGCAAGUAGCACGUAGCACCACCAGGUAGGAGCAGUACGCUCCUUUGUUUUUGACGAAAAAAAAAGAGCUGGGGCUGGAGGCCAGGAACGGCAGCAGCGGACGAACACCUUAGAUUGCACGUCUUGGGCUGCGGCGGGUGACCCAGCAGGUGGGGAGUGGAACAAGGCAACCCGAUCUGGAGGGCGCGACCCGAUCCGGACAGGCAGAUGGAUCGGGGCAGCAGCGGCCAACGGAGAAUCGGGUGCGGACGAACACAACGGCGAUCAGGAGAGUUGUGGUUGUGCGUACACAGAUGAGCAGCAGCAGUCGGCCGGAGAGAGGAGCAGCGGCAAUCGACGCCGGAAAUUGGAUCGAAGAGCACGAGUUGCGCGUGCGAAAAAAAACCCUA
rnacentral:lncRNA from 1 species